CUCAAGACAGGUGUGAAUUUGCAACAUAACAUUACCAGAGAAGACUGAGAAGGAGGAAAAGAGGAGGAAAUGGCAGCUUCUCAGGUCCCCUUUGGAGUAAAGGAAGAAUCCCGGUGCUAGGUGUGAAUGAAUGAAGCAGAUGGCACAGCGAUAUUGUCUCAGGACGUCCAGGGUUUGUUCCCAAAGAAGCCGUGCAUAAGAGAUUCAUGUGUGAUGUGCUGGGAAGUUCUGAGAUCUCUCAGCUUGGAAAUUUGUACUUAGUGAAAGACUGGGAAAGUUAAGGGGGCCUGUGAUGUGCGAAAAGGAUAUUAUUUUAGAUAUAACCGCAUUGGGACAGCUAUUCAUGAUGAAAAUAUAAUUGCCAAAAGAAAUUG
ensembl:lncRNA